AGCGAACGCUGGCGGCAGGCUUAACACAUGCAAGUCGAGCGGGCAUCUCCGGAUUUCUGCGGCAGACGGGUGUGUAACACGUGGGAACGUACCCUUCGGUUCGGUACAACUCUGGGAAACUGGAGCUAAUACCGGAUACGCCUCUAUGGGGAAAGUUUUACUGCCGAAGGAUGGGCCCGCGUCUGAUUAGCUAGUUGGUGGGGUAACGGCCUACCAAGGCGACGAUCAGUAGCUGGUCUGAGAGGAUGAUCAGCCACACUGGGACUGAGACACGGCCCAGACUCCUACGGGAGGCAGCAGUGGGGAAUAUUGGACAAUGGGCGCAAGCCUGAUCCAGCCAUGCCGCGUGAGUGAUGAAGGCCUUAGGGUUGUAAAGCUCUUUUGUCCGGGACGAUAAUGACGGUACCGGAAGAAUAAGCCCCGGCUAACUUCGUG
rnacentral:rRNA from 1 species